GACGAACGCUGGCGGCGGGCUUAACACAUGCAAGUCGAACGCUUAAGCUUGGUUCUUGCCCUGGUUGAAUGAGGGGCGAACGGGUGAUUAAUACGUAAGUAACCGGCCGUUGACUCUGGGAUAAGCCCGGGAAACUGGGUCUAAUACUGGAUACGACGGGUCACGUCAGGGUUGUUUGUGGCAAGCGCUUUACUGGUUUUCGAUGGGCGCACGGCCUAUUAGCUUGUUGGUGGAGUAAUGGCUCACCGAGGCGUCGACGGAUAGCCGGCCUGAGAGGUUAAACGGCGACAAUGGGACUGAGAGACGGAGCAGAGUCCUACGGGAGGCAGCAGUCGGAAAUAUGGCACAAUGGGGGGAAGCCUGAUGAAGAGACCCUGGGUGAGGGAUGACGGUUUUCGGGUUGUAAACCUCUUUAAGCAAGGAAGAAGCGAAAGUGACGGUACGUACAGAAGAAGCGCCGGCUAACUACGUG
rnacentral:rRNA from 1 species